AAAAAAGGUAAGCUACUAAGAGCGAAUGGUGGAUGCCUUGACUGGUAAAGGCGAUGAAGGACGUACUAGACUGCGAUAAGCUACGGGGAGCUGUCAAGAAGCUUUGAUCCGUAGAUUUCCGAAUGGGGCAACCCAAUGUAUAGAGAUAUACAUUACCUAUAUAGGAGCGAACGAGGGGAAUUGAAACAUCUUAGUACCCUCAGGAAAAGAAAUCAAUAGAGAUUGCGUCAGUAGCGGCGAGCGAAAGCGCAACAGGGCAAACCCAGUGCUUGCACUGGGGGUUGUAGGACUGCAAUGUGCAAGAGGUAAGUUUAGCAGAACAUUCUGGAAAGUAUAACCAUAGAGGGUGAUAGUCCCGUAUGCGAAAAACAAACCUUAGCUAGCAGUAUCCUGAGUAGGGCGGGACACGAGGAAUCCUGUCUGAAUCCGGGUCGACCACGAUCCAACCCUAAAUACUAAUACCAGAUCGAUAGUGCACAAGUACCGUGAGGGAAAGGUGAAAAGAACUGAGGUGAUCAGAGUGAAAUAGAACCUGAAACCAUUUGCUUACAAUCAUUCAGAGCCCUAUGUAGCAAUACAGGGUGAUGGACUGCCUUUUGCAUAAUGAGCCUGCGAGUUGUGGUGUCUGGCAAGGUUAAGCAAACGCGAAGCCGUAGCGAAAGCGAGUCUGAAUAGGGCGCUUAGUCAGAUGCUGCAGACCCGAAACGAAGUGAUCUAUCCAUGAGCAAGUUGAAGCUAGUGUAAGAACUAGUGGAGGACUGAACCCAUAGGCGUUGAAAAGCCCCGGGAUGACUUGUGGAUAGGGGUGAAAGGCCAAUCAAACUUCGUGAUAGCUGGUUCUCUCCGAAAUAUAUUUAGGUAUAGCGUUGUGUCGUAAUAUAAGGGGGUAGAGCACUGAAUGGGCUAGGGCAUACACCAAUGUACCAAACCCUAUCAAACUCCGAAUACCUUAUAUGUAAUCACAGCAGUCAGGCGGCGAGUGAUAAAAUCCGUCGUCAAGAGGGAAACAACCCAGACUACCAGCUAAGGUCCCUAAAUCUUACUUAAGUGGAAAACGAUGUGAAGUUACUUAAACAACCAGGAGGUUGGCUUAGAAGCAGCCAUCCUUUAAAGAAAGCGUAAUAGCUCACUGGUCUAGUGAUUUUGCGCGGAAAAUAUAACGGGGCUAAAGUAAGUACCGAAGCUGUAGACUUGCACACAACUUAGAUUAUUUAAGUUUAGAAUAUGAGAAACUAAGUUAUAUGUUUAGUUAUAUUUUUACUGAUUUUUAUAGAGUAAAGAUAGAAAUAAAACUUAGUAAAAUCAGUAAAAAUAUUCUUAGACUAAAGUUAAGUAGUUUAAGUUGUGUGCAAGUGGUAGGAGAGCGUUCUAUUUGCGUCGAAGGUAUACCGGUAAGGAGUGCUGGAGCGAAUAGAAGUGAGCAUGCAGGCAUGAGUAGCGAUAAUUAAUGUGAGAAUCAUUAACGCCGUAAACCCAAGGUUUCCUACGCGAUGCUCGUCAUCGUAGGGUUAGUCGGGUCCUAAGUCGAGUCCGAAAGGGGUAGACGAUGGCAAAUUGGUUAAUAUUCCAAUACCAACAUUAGUGUGCGAUGGAAGGACGCUUAGGGCUAAGGGGGCUAGCGGAUGGAAGUGCUAGUCUAAGGUCGUAGGAGGUUAUACAGGCAAAUCCGUAUAACAAUACUCCGAGAACUGAAAGGCUUUUUGAAGUCUUCGGAUGGAUAGAAGAACCCCUGAUGCCGUCGAGCCAAGAAAAGUUUCUAAGUUUAGCUAAUGUUGCCCGUACCGUAAACCGACACAGGUGGGUGGGAUGAGUAUUCUAAGGCGCGUGGAAGAACUCUCUUUAAGGAACUCUGCAAAAUAGCACCGUAUCUUCGGUAUAAGGUGUGGUUAGCUUUGUAUUAGGAUUUACUCCGAAAGCAAGGAAACUUACAACAAAGAGUCCCUCCCGACUGUUUACCAAAAACACAGCACUCUGCUAACUCGUAAGAGGAUGUAUAGGGUGUGACGCCUGCCCGGUGCUCGAAGGUUAAUUGAUGGGGUUAGCAUUAGCGAAGCUCUUGAUCGAAGCCCGAGUAAACGGCGGCCGUAACUAUAACGGUCCUAAGGUAGCGAAAUUCCUUGUCGGUUAAAUACCGACCUGCAUGAAUGGCGUAACGAGAUGGGAGCUGUCUCAAAGAGGGAUCCAGUGAAAUUGUAGUGGAGGUGAAAAUUCCUCCUACCCGCGGCAAGACGGAAAGACCCCGUGGACCUUUACUACAGCUUGACACUGCUACUUGGAUAAGAAUGUGCAGGAUAGGUGGGAGGCUUUGAGUAUAUGACGCCAGUUGUAUAUGAGCCAUUGUUGAGAUACCACUCUUUCUUAUUUGGGUAGCUAACCAGCUUGAGUUAUCCUCAAGUGGGACAAUGUCUGGUGGGUAGUUUGACUGGGGCGGUCGCCUCCCAAAUAAUAACGGAGGCUUACAAAGGUUGGCUCAGAACGGUUGGAAAUCGUUCGUAGAGUAUAAAGGUAUAAGCCAGCUUAACUGCAAGACAUACAAGUCAAGCAGAGACGAAAGUCGGUCUUAGUGAUCCGGUGGUUCUGUGUGGAAGGGCCAUCGCUCAAAGGAUAAAAGGUACCCCGGGGAUAACAGGCUGAUCUCCCCCAAGAGCUCACAUCGACGGGGAGGUUUGGCACCUCGAUGUCGGCUCAUCGCAUCCUGGGGCUGGAGCAGGUCCCAAGGGUAUGGCUGUUCGCCAUUUAAAGCGGUACGCGAGCUGGGUUCAGAACGUCGUGAGACAGUUCGGUCCCUAUCUGCCGUGGGCGUAAGAAGAUUGAAGAGAUUUGACCCUAGUACGAGAGGACCGGGUUGAACAAACCACUGGUGUAGCUGUUGUUCUGCCAAGAGCAUCGCAGCGUAGCUAAGUUUGGAAAGGAUAAACGCUGAAAGCAUCUAAGCGUGAAGCCAACUCUAAGAUGAAUCUUCUCUAAGCUCUCUAGAAGACUACUAGUUUGAUAGGCUGGGUGUGUAAUGGAUGAAAGUCCUUUAGCUGACCAGUACUAAUAGAGCGUUUGGCUUAUCUUUAAUAAAGCAU
rnacentral:rRNA from 1 species